GAUGAAGAACGCAGCGAAAUGCGAUAAGUAAUGUGAAUUGCAGAAUUCAGUGAAUCAUCGAAUCUUUGAACGCACAUUGCGCCCGCCAGUAUUCUGGCGGGCAUGCCUGUUCGAGCGUCAUUACAACCCUCAGGCCCCCGGGCCUGGCGUUGGGGAUCGGCGGAGCCCCCCGUGGGCACACGCCGUCCCCCAAAUACAGUGGCGGUCCCGCCGCAGCUUCCAUCGCGUAGUAGCUAACGCCUCGCGACUGGAGAGCGGCGCGGCCACGCCGUAAAACACCCAACUCUUCUGAAGUUGACCUCGAAUCAGGUAGGAAUACCCGCUGAACUUAAGCAUAUCAAUAAGCGGAGGA
rnacentral:misc_RNA from 1 species